UUUAUUAUUGUUUAACACACUAAAUUACAAAAUACACUAUUUUAUACACAAUACAUCCAAUUUAUUAACCCUUGUAAAUUGGAAUGAAGUCUUCCAGCAGCACCUUAAAUAUCCAUAACCCCAUAACCUUCUCUCUCUAUUGCAAAACGUUGCCACAGUUGUCCAAGGAAUGCCAUAUUCUUGAGUUACAUCUUAAUUGUUCUAUCUUUCUGUACUUCAUCUACAAUUUCUUUCUUCUUCUUUAUGCUCAGUUGAGUGUUGUUUUUUCCGGAAUUAUUCCUCUGGUCAGUUCUCUUUGAACCCAUCCUUACAUUUCAUUCAAAAAUGUAAUAAUAAUUAUGUAUGC
rnacentral:lncRNA from 1 species